GGAGGGGGGGCUAGCGUUGUUCGGAUUUACUGGGCGUAAAGGGCGCGUAGGCGGUAUGGCCAUGUCAGGGGGGGUGAAAGGGCCUGGGGCUCAACCCAGGAACUGCCUUUGAAACUGGCAAACUAGAGUCCCGAUAGAGGAUGGCGGAAUUCCCAGUGUAGAGGUGAAAUUCGUAGAUAUUGGGAAGAACACCAGUGGCGAAGGCGGCCAUCUGGAUCGGCACUGACGCUGAGGCGCGAAAGCGUGGGGAGCAAACAGGAUUAGAUACCCUGGUAGUCCACGCCGUAAACGAUGUGUGCUAGACGUUGGGGGCCUUAGGCCCUGAGUGUCGCAGCUAACGCGUUAAGCAUACCGCCUGGGGAGUACGGCCGCAAAGGUUA
rnacentral:rRNA from 1 species